rnacentral:rRNA from 1 species
GGCAACGGAUAUCUCGGCUCUCGCAUCGAUGAAGAACGUAGCGAAAUGCGAUACUUGGUGUGAAUUGCAGAAUCCCGUGAACCAUCGAGUUUUUGAACGCAAGUUGCGCCCGAAGCCUCUAGCUGAGGGCACGUCUGCCUGGGCGU